rnacentral:rRNA from 1 species
UACAGAGGUCCCAAGCGUUGUUCGGAUUCACUGGGCGUAAAGGGUGCGCAGGUGGGUUUGCAAGUUCAAUGUGAAAGCCCCGGGCUUAACCCGGGAAUGGCAUUGGAUACUGCAGAUCUGGAGGAUCGGAGGGGGGACUGGAAUUCUUGGUGUAGCAGUGAAAUGCGUAGAUAUCAAGAGGAACACCAGUGGCGAAGGCGAGUCCCUGGACGAUACCUGACACUGAGGCACGAAAGCUAGGGGAGCAAACAGG